CUCAAAGUUUUAUUUGCUAUAGGUCUGUAGUGGUUCCAAUGAGAUGGCCAAUAGGCUCAAAUAGUUGUACUGAAACUGAUCCUGUGCAAUCACUAUCAGAACCGUUGGCUUCACUUAGUUUGAGGGAUGAUUCAGAAUCAUCAUCUACAACUUUUAGAAAUAAGUCUACUAUGGGGAGAAGUGUUGUCACGAAGUGGUUAAUAAAUUUUCCAAUUGACUAAUGAGGUCAUUGGGUUGGCAGUCGUGAUUCCUCAAACAAAGAUCAUAACCAUCACCAGCCAUGUUUCUUACAUAUUAUACAUGUCCUACCCAUCUUAACUACAUUCAAUGCACAUUUGUUCUUAUUUCUUAUUUUGUUUUCUUUUUCUAAAGUAUUGAAAAACUCUACUCUGGUUAGAGGAUUUAAGCUAAGAAUAUAAUACUCUCUUGAGAAAGACUACUGCCCAUCUCUCUGUAUUUGCAUGCAAUUUCAUGCAAAAAAGCAUUUUGAUCUUAUUUGCAUUAAGUGCUAUUGCAUCA